CACGCCCUCAAUAAAUUACGUAACGCCUCAGAAAUUGUUAUCGCAUUUUACAGCCGUCUGGCCUCUUGUCGUUUGUACUUUCUCUGCAGAUAUGCAAAUUUGUUCAGAUCUAUGCGACCAGCGAUGUUUUCCGUCGAUGCUUCCUUAAUUUCCUUAUAGAUCGAUCGACGAUCUAUUGAUUGAGCAUGAUUUUGUUGGUAGUUGAUGAACAUCGGAGGAUAAGCCGUAUCUGAUGACGGUUGGUGCUGCAUCGUCGGAGGUAAUCUGACUAGUCUUCAAUUACUGUAAUUUCUAAUUCGUUUUACUGUUUUUCGAGUUGUUUCGCCUGAGUUUCCGUGAUGUCGCGAAGGACAUGGCGGUUGCUAUCUUCUCUCGCCUCUAUUAGCUGUCUGAUUGUUCGCUCUCACCGAUUUGGUGAGAUCAUUGUGAAAGCAACUAUGAUUGCUUGGUUUUUUGUUUGAUCGGCUAUGUGGAUGUUUCUAUUUUGGACCACCGGAGCUGAUCGAAUGUGACCUAUUUGAUCGGAUGGUCUAGAUUGGGAAAAUGAAGUGCUGUGUUGAUCAAGGUUAAGAUGGUUUAUUGAUUGUUCCGUUGAUUUAUGUUUCGCUCUUUAUUUAAGCUUGUGAAUGGUGAUAAUCAUGCAUUUGUAUAAUAUAGGUAGAGACGAGGCGAUACGGUAGGCAGGAUAAUGAGUUGAUAACUGUGUUACGUAGUUACUGUUGUCUAUCGACCUUUGCCAUGAUGGGUGCGCUCGCAUGGCAGGUCAACAACCCUAAUAAAAUUUCUGUUUUUUGUUUUUGGAGAGGAGAUGGCACGGGAUUGCCCGGCUCUCCUUUCCGGUGUGUCGUGUCCCUCUUUUUUUUCCUCUUCUCUUUCUCUUUGCCUCCUGCUCCCGUCUACAAGUUCUCAACCCUUCAGAGCAAACUAUUCUGUUGCUUCACUUGCUUGUCCAUGAAUAAAUACACAUAUCAUGGAUAAAGUAACUUAAAGCACAAUUGUAUAUCCGUACGACACCAACAAGAGCAAGAAAACUAUCAACUACCGGGACUUUUAAGGUAUUAUCAGUUCACCACUGAACGACUACUUCAAGGUACACAAUAUAAUUCCCUUUUUGUUAUUUUGAUUAUUCAGAAUUCUGUAAUAAAAUGUUGAUUUCAGAUAUUUUUAUUAUUAAGCACGAAAUUCCCAAAUAUUAACACGAUCAAGGCAACUUACACAAAGAAAUGGAUUCUAUUUUUCCAUCAUUCUCCAGUAACGUUAAUGCAGUUGUCAGCUAUUACUAGUAUUACUUAUGUAUUUGUCAGCUUACUUAUUAAGUUCAAAUUAUCCACGGAUUUCAGCAGGUUUAUUUUAACAUUCAUGUAUUUUGAAUAGUGAGUAUAUUAGAUUUAUAUAUCCAAAAACACAAUGUUAUUUUUUAGCAUUGGUUAUUUUGCUAUACUGAGUUUCUCACAUCAUUUUCAACUUGAUGACAAUGGGGACUAAAAGUGAUAAAAGCUUCAUACUACUUUUGGAAUAUACAUUUCAUCGUCUUGAUAUUGUAAUUGUUUGGCAGUUAAUAUUCUUUGCAGAGUACAAUGUAUCAUUAUAAAUAUUUAGAUUUAGAUUAGAUUUUUUGUUACUUGUAAGCCAAAGAGCUAUAUAGCAAUAGAUGAGAAAGUGAGUGUGUAACUUGUUCUAUUGUUGGCAGACAGUUUUCAAGUUAAUGAUGAUACCACUGGCAAUCCUUUUAGUUAUGCACUCUUCUUUCUCAGAAGGGAAGUAUUCUCUGCCUCUUAUCACCUUCUUCAUAUGCACUUCUCAAAGAUAAUGGAAUCAUGUAAAGCUGGAAGUAUCAACUAUACUUGGAUGUUUCCGCGGAAGAUUUGAGGUCUCUGAAGAAAGAUCAUUGGUAAUUGUUUAAUGGAUGUUGUGUUCUGGACAUGGCAACUUAGCAAUGAUUGUGAAUUAAUUUUCUCGCUAUAUAUACUAUGUUUUAUUUUGCAUUUACAUCAA